CAGCUCAGGGGGUACCCUGUAAAAGUCUGUACUUAAAGCACAGAUAUCCAUGUCUGGUUUAAGGGUUUCGUUCAAGAGAUAAUUUAAGACAAAAUGCUGUCCAAACAUAUAGCAAUAGUUUUCAUUUACUUGAUUACGAUGAAUGGAGUCGUAAUGAUGGCAAAAGCAAAGAAGCUUUUUGAUAACAACCAUUGCCAGUAUAAGAGAACAUCUGCAAACAUGAAGUCAUCGAAACUUAUAUUGAAUGGGGAUAAAACAGAAAUUAAUGGAAAGGAAUAUCAAUGCAGUGACGGAACAUUCUUUCAAACUGUGAAAG